rnacentral:rRNA from 1 species
AGGGUUCGAUUCUGGCUCAGAUUGAACGCUGGCGGCGUGCUUAACACAUGCAAGUCGAACGCGAACGGGGCUUCGGCCCCAAGUAGAGUGGCGCACGGGUGAGUAACGCGUGGACAAUCUGCCCUUAUGACUGGAAUAACAGUUGGAAACGGCUGCUAAUACCGGAUACGCUCAGGAAGAACUUUUUGAGGAAAGGCGGCCUCUGCUUGCAAGCUGUCGCAUAAGGAUGAGUCCGCGUCCCAUUAGCUAGUUGGCGGGGUAACGGCCCACCAAGGCAACGAUGGGUAGCCGAUUUGAGAGGAUGAUCGGCCACACUGGGACUGAAACACGGCCCAG